CACAGUGCCUUGGAAUCAAUUUUACUGUCUUUGAGUGGUCAGCGGCUGGAAUUAUUAUUGGCUUUGGUGUUACCCUAGUGUUUUUUUCUUAUACAAAUUUCUUCUUUGAAAACUAAAAAAGAAAGCACUAGGGUAACACCAAAGGCAAUAAUAAUUUCAGUUGCUGACCACUCAAAGACAGUAAAAUUGAUUCCAAGGCACUGUG
rnacentral:pre_miRNA from 1 species